UAACUUACCUCAUGAUGACGGGGCCCGCACAAGCAGCGGAGCAUGUGGUUUAAUUCGAAGCAACGCGAAGAACCUUACCAGGGCUUGACAUCCACAGAAUCUGGUAGAUAUACCGGAGUGCCUCGCAAGGAGGAGCUGUGAGACAGGUGGUGCAUGGUUUGUCGUCAGCUCGUGUCGUGAGAUGUUGGGUUAAGUCCGCAACGAGCGCAACCCCUGUUGGUAGUUACCAGCGUAAAGACGGGGACUCUACCGAGACUGCCGUGGAAAACACGGAGGAAGGCGGGGAUGACGUCAAAUCAUCAUGCCCUUUAUGCCCUGGGCUACACACGUGCUACAAUGGCCUGAACAGAGGGCAGCGAAGGAGCGAUCCGGAGCGAAUCCCAGAAAACAGGUCCCAGUUCAGAUUGCAGGCUGCAACCCGCCUGCAUGAAGACGGAGUUGCUAGUAAUCGCGGAUCAGCAUGCCGCGGUGAAUACGUUCCCGGGC
rnacentral:rRNA from 1 species